UACAGAGGUCUCAAGCGUUAUUCGGAUUCACUGGGCGUAAAGGGUGCGCAGGCGGUUGGGUGUGUCAGAUGUGAAAUCCCGAGGCUUAACCUCGGAACUGCGUCUGAAACUACUCGACUAGAGUACUGGAGAGGGAAACGGAAUUCACGGUGUAGCAGUGAAAUGCGUAGAUAUCGUGAGGAACACCAGAGGCGAAGGCGGUUUCCUGGACAGUUACUGACGCUCAGGCACGAAAGCAUGGGGAGCAAAAGGG
rnacentral:rRNA from 1 species